UACAGGGGGUGCAAACGUUUGCUCGGAAUUAUUGGGCGUAAAGCGCGCGUAGGCGGCUACUUAAGUCGGAUGUGAAAGCCCCUGGCUCAACUGGGGAAGUGCACCCGAAACUGAGUGGCUUGAGUGCGAAAGAGGGUCGCGGAAUUCCCGGUGUAGAGGUGAAAUUCGUAGAUAUCGGGAGGAACACCGGUGGCGAAGGCGGCGACCUGGGUCGACACUGACGCUGAGGCGCGAAAGCGUGGGGAGCAAACAGG
rnacentral:rRNA from 1 species